GACGAACGCUGGCGGCGUGCUUAACACAUGCAAAUCGAACGGAAAGGCCCUGCUUUUGUGGGGUGCUCGAGUGGCGAACGGGUGAGUAACACGUGAGUAACCUGCCCUUGACUUUGGGAUAACUUCAGGAAACUGGGGCUAAUACCGGAUAGGAGCUCCUGCUGCAUGGUGGGGGUUGGAAAGUUUCGGCGGUUGGGGAUGGGCUCGCGGCUUAUCAGCUUGUUGGUGGGGUAGUGGCUUACCAAGGCUUUGACGGGUAGCCGGCCUGAGAGGGUGACCGGCCACAUUGGGACUGAGAUACGGCCCAGACUCCUACGGGAGGCAGCAGUGGGGAAUAUUGCACAAUGGGCGGAAGCCUGAUGCAGCAACGCCGCGUGCGGGAUGACGGCCUUCGGGUUGUAAACCGCUUUCGCCUGUGACGAAGCGUGAGUGACGGUAAUGGGUAAAGAAGCACCGGCUAACUACGUG
rnacentral:rRNA from 1 species